GGUUAGCAACAGCUGAUACAUUAUGCUACUCAUUUUGCUUGAGGAAAAGCACAAAGAUCGAAAAUGGUGAAUUUUUGCUGUGUUGUCGGCUGCUCCAACCGCAGUAACCGAGACAGAGGGGUGUCUUUUUUCUGCAUACCAACUGUUUUACUACACCACGGUGACCAUUCAGCGUAUCUUUCAAAAGAACGGCGAGAAAAAUGGAUCGCUAACAUCAAGCGAGACGGAUGGGUACCGUCCAAAUCGUCGCGAGUGUGCUCUGCACAUUUCGUUCGAGGAAAGCCAGCUUAUCUACAUGACACCAGCAAUCCUGAUUGGGCUCCUACUCAGAACAUGGGUUACUCAAGAUGUGAAACGCGGGAAGCAUCAGAACAUCAUCAGCAACUGACAAAGCAUAAAAGGAAGGCGGAUGACAUGGCAACAGCUUCAAUACUACUUGAGCUACACAAACACCAUCAAGAUGUAGGCAUCACAGAACAGAACACAUUCACUGAGAUGUCAGGAGUCAAUGUACAAACAGAACUUACAAUGUGUGACAUCUCUUCACUUGAAGAGAGAAUUAAACAGCUAGAAAAGGACAAUAUUGCUCUGAGGGGCCAAGUACAUGAGCUGGAGGAAGGAACCAAACAAACAGGCCUGCAAGAACAAGACUUUAAAGAUGAUGAUGCUAAGCUCUACACAGGACUUCCUUCAUUGGGAUAUUUGCUCAAUAUUAAGCCUCGCCCCAUUGUGUUCUGACGUUGUGUUCUGUACAAAAGUCCGACGUGGGCACAUGUGUAUGAUGUGCGCAGCCGCCACAAUUUUGUAGUGUGGCAUUGGAGAAUAUGUAUCAAGUACAGGUCUGCGUGUACAGUGGGCAGGGCCUACCGGAUUGGUCUAUUCCAAUGUUAAAUGUUGACCAAUGCCAACAUACUAAUUUUUCUUUUUUGUUGUAUUUUUAAAGUUAUGACACAAUGAAGAAAGACCAAUCUACGAUCUCAUUCUGCACCAGUUGCUAGGAAAGUCAUCGGCAACAUGGGUGGACAUGGGGAUUUUUCCGGGGGGGGGGAAUGUCGGGCCUGUCAGAUUUGUAACAACAGAGCGGGCACAAACGGUAACGCAUUACAAUGUUACUGAUGCGCUUACCUUUAUACCCAUCGUAGGAUGUCGUUGUGUUUAUUAUUACUAUAAUUGUUAUUUCAUUUUAGAUACUUUUUCUGGAUCACAGUCGUGGAUAGGCGUCAAUGUUGUCAGCCACGUUCCCCAGGGGUCAAGGAGACCUCCGUAUGACAACUCUAUAAAAUAUCUUUGAUAAUGAUAAAACCUCAUCUUUGAACAGCUACUCUGUGGGCAUUCAUUUAAAAUGGUAAUAUGAAUAAUACUAUCAGUGUAAUCAAGACUAAAUUCAAUUAUUUCAUACUGUCCAGGUUUAUUAAAUUACGGAUAACAAGAA